AGGUCUGGAGUGGGAUGGAAGACGAUCAGAGAAAGAAAGCUUUAAUUACUCAAAUGAGUCUGCCCUUAAAAAAGGCAGGUACUCCUUGAAUGCCACACAGUGGGUAUCAACAGGGUGAGGAUGGGAGAAGGAGUUUUAAUGUCUUUGUCACAUAAAUGUGUUAAGAAUACAUUAAAUAUUCCUUAAGUAGCUUUGUGAAAAUGAGAUUGAGAAGAGCAAAUGGGAGGAGUGGUGAGACCUUUGAAUGUAAUGCACUGAAAUAGCUCAAAAUAAUUGCUUGUUUUGGACAAAGGCUUUGAUAAUAUAUCUUAAUCAAGUAACACGGGUUUAGAAGAGGCAAUGAACAGGAACUUUAGUUCACAAGGAUCUUGGUCACUGCUCAGAAAACUUGAAACAUCAGUAUAGUGUUCACAUCCAGAUUAAGACUUGUGUGUUCUAGAACUGUUCAACCAAAUCUGUAGAAAUCAUCUGUCAGGAUAGAACAAGUUUCAGGGUUUUGGUUUGGCUGAUACCUGUAUGAGUUUUCCUAGGUUUCACAGGCUGAAGCAGGGGCUGCCUGUGUCAUAACAGUCAAUUACAUCAUUGCUGCUACAUGGCAACUUGGAGUUGUGAGCUUUAGAGGUGAUGAAGGCUGACCACUCAAGACUCUUAACAGCAAUGCAAGAGAGGAAAUUUGGGAAACCAUUCUACUGAGAUGAGUCACCUACUGGGAAAGGAGUUAAGUGGAACAACUGCCCGAAGUCAAGAUCUGACUCCCUGUACAACCUGUGGAAGACGUUUUGCAGGAGCUGUUCUGCUGAGACACGAUCCCAUAUGCAAGAAGGUCUUCAACAAGAAACGCAAGCCCUUCAACUCUUUGAAACAGAGACUGCAGGGAACAGAAAUCACCACUGUAAAGACACAGCCCUCCCAAAAGGAAGAGCCAGGGAAGAAAUCUAACUGGAGGCAGCACCACCAGGAUUUUAUUAACGCUGUUCGAUCGGCCAGGCAGGUCACAAAGGCUCUGAGGGAAGGCCUUCCUCUGCCACCUCCUCCCCCACCAAGCAUCAAUCCAGACUACGUUCGGUGCCCGCACUGCUCCCGAAGAUUUAAUGAGGCUGCCGCGCAGAGGCACAUCGAGUUCUGCGCAGAACAAGCUGCCCGACGCCCCCUCGCUGCAAAGACCACCAGGCAGGCUUUGGGCAAGCAGCCAGUGCCUCAAAGAAAACCUCAAGCCUUAACAACUGCGGCUGGACUGCUUCAGAAGAGAGAACAAGGUGGCAGUACAGAUGAUCCUUGGCCAAGCACACAGCAGAAUAACAGAAAAGCUACUGGAAAAAAGUCUUCAGGAGACUCUGGCCUCCUCUCCCAUUUGGAGGAGGAAUGGACUAUGCCAGAGAAGAGACAGGAUCAACCACUUAUGGGUUCCACAUACCCACAGCAUGUGUGGGGCUGCCCUUCCCCAUGCCAGUGCUGCUGCAACCCUGUAUGAGCUAAGUACAGUGUCACCAGGGAGAUGUUCUGCAGCUUCUCUGUCACUGCUUGAAGUCACACAUGCCUGCCCACUGCAGCCCCAUUCUCUUGGACUCCACAGCAGCAUUAGUUUCACUGUGCCUGAUGUUUCUCUGUCACUGAAGACAUUUGUU